rnacentral:rRNA from 1 species
GGGGAACCUGCCCCAUAGUCUGGGAUACCACUUGGAAACAGGUGCUAAUACCGGAUAAGAAAGCAGAUCGCAUGAUCAGCUUUUAAAAGGCGGCGUAAGCUGUCGCUAUGGGAUGGCCCCGCGGUGCAUUAGCUAGUUGGUAAGGUAAAGGCUUACCAAGGCGAUGAUGCAUAGCCGAGUUGAGAGACUGAUCGGCCACAUUGGGACUGAGACACGGCCCAAACUCCUACGGGAGGCAGCAGUAGGGAAUCUUCCACAAUGGACGCAAGUCUGAUGGAGCAACGCCGCGUGAGUGAAGAAGGUUUUCGGAUCGUAAAGCUCUGUUGUUGGUGAAGAAGGAUAGAGGUAGUAACUGGCCUUUAUUUGACGGUAAUCAACCAGAAAGUCACGGCUAACUACGUGCCAGCAGCCGCGGUAAUACGUAGGUGGCAAGCGUUGUCCGGAUUUAUUGGGCGUAAAGCGAGCGCAGGCGGAAGAAUAAGUCUGAUGUGAAAGCCCUCGGCUUAACCGAGGAACUGCAUCGGAAACUGUUUUUCUUGAGUGCAGAAAAGGAGAGUGGAACUCCAUGUGUAGCGGUGGAAUGCGUAGAUAUAUGGAAGAACACCAGUGGCGAAGGCGGCUCUCUGGUCUGCAACUGACGCUGAGGCUCGAAAGCAUGGGUUAGCGAACAGGGAUUAAGAUACCCUGGGUAGUCCAUGCCGUAAACGAUGAGUGCCUAAGUGUUUGGGGAGGUUUUCCCCCUCUCAGUGCUGCCAGCUAACGCCAUUAAAGCACUCCCCCCUGGGGAAUUCC